GAGUUUGAUCCUGGCUCAGAACGAACGCUGGCGGCAGGCCUAAUACAUGCAAGUCGAGCGCGCCCUUCGGGGUGAGCGGCGGACGGGUGAGUAACGCGUGGGAAUAUGCCCUUCUCUAAGGAAUAGCCUCUGGAAACGGAGAGUAAUACCUUAUACGCCCUUCGGGGGAAAGAUUUAUCGGAGAAGGAUUAGCCCGCGUUAGAUUAGGUAGUUGGUGGGGUAAUGGCCUACCAAGCCUACGAUCUAUAGCUGGUUUGAGAGGAUGAUCAGCCACACUGGGACUGAGACACGGCCCAGACUCCUACGGGAGGCAGCAGUAGGGAAUCUUAGACAAUGGGGGCAACCCUGAUCUAGCCAUGCCGCGUGUGUGAUGAAGGCCCUAGGGUCGUAAAGCACUUUCGCCAGAGAUGAUAAUGACAGUAUCUGGUAAAGAAACCCCGGCUAACUCCGUGCCAGCAGCCGCGGUAAUAAGGGCGA
rnacentral:rRNA from 1 species